rnacentral:rRNA from 1 species
UAAUACGGAGGAUGCAAGCGUUAUCCGGAUUUAUUGGGUUUAAAGGGUGCGCAGGUGGCUUUGUAAGUCAGUGGUGAAAGUCUGCCGCUUAACGGUAGGAUUGCCAUUGAUACUGCGGAGCUUGAGUUUGGAUGAGGUAGGCGGAAUGAGUAGUGUAGCGGUGAAAUGCAUAGAUAUUACUCAGAACACCGAUUGCGAAGGCAGCUUACUAAUCCACAACUGACACUGAGGCACGAAAGCGUGGGGAUCAAACAGGAUUAGAUACCCUGGUAGUCCACGCUGUAAACGAUGAUCACUCGCUGUUAGCGAUACACAGUUAGCGGCUAAGCGAAAGCGUUAAGUGAUCCACCUGGGGAGUACGAUCGCAAGGUUG